GUAGUCUAGUGGUUAAGACAUCUGCAUCCCACAGCAGAGUACCUGGGUUUGAAUCCCAGC
rnacentral:tRNA from 1 species